rnacentral:misc_RNA from 1 species
AAUUAAUGGUGACACUGUAUUUCCAGCUGUCGACAUUGUGAAGAUGGCUGGGGGUGUUAACAGUGCGCUUGUGCUGAACACAACAAUUCUAGUCAGUGGCAGGACCUUGACAAUCACACUGCAGCCAAAAAAUGGAACUUAUGCUAUAAUUAGUGCUAUUGAAAUUUUUGAGGUUAUAAUAGCUGAAUCUAAAACGUCACUUGACGAAGUCAGGGGUUUGCAAUCGCUAAAGCAUGCACUUGGACUUCCCCUUCGGCUUGGAUGGAAUGGUG